rnacentral:rRNA from 1 species
UACGUAGGGUGCGAGCGUUAAUCGGAAUUACUGGGCGUAAAGCGUGCGCAGGCGGUUCGUUAAGUCAGGGGUGAAAUCCUGGAGCUCAACUCCAGAACUGCCUUUGAUACUGGCGAUCUCGAGUCCGGGAGAGGUGAGUGGAACUGCGAGUGUAGAGGUGAAAUUCGUAGAUAUUCGCAAGAACACCAGUGGCGAAGGCGGCUCACUGGCCCGGUACUGACGCUGAGGUGCGAAAGCGUGGGGAGCAAACAGG